UGAUAAAAGGAGGCCGAUGCGUUAUUAGACGUUGGAGAUUAAAGUUGUUGGAGAAUUGAUAAAAUAGUAGUAGUUAGCUAAAAUAAUGGGUUAGAAGUUAAACUUAGCUACUAAUUUGAUUGAGGGAUUUGUUAAAUGGUAAGUCAAAUCGGUUAAACAAGUUGUUAAGAAGGCGAGAGUAAAAGAAAUGGACUUAGAACUAAUUCAAGCUUAAAUGCUUGAAUAUAAACGCGAAAUUUUGAAAGUAAAGUAAUAUAUGAAUUAAGACGUUAAUUUAGUAUUUAUUUGUAUUAUAGAUCCUACGCAUAUUUGGGAUUGGAGAAAUAGAAGAUUUGGGGGAAAUUAACAACGGGCUAAUUUAUUUCGCUUUUGAAAUUUGGAUUAAGCGGUCGAGAUCCUACGCAUAUUUGGGAUUGGAGAAAUAGAAGAUUUGGGGGAAAUUAACAACGGGCUAAUUUAUUUCGCUUUUGAAAUUUGGAUUAAGCGGUCGAGUGUUUUCUUUCAGGAUUAACAUAUGACGAUGUGGUCGAGCUUCCAUUCGUUGUUCCGGAAGUCUCAGUUAUGGGAGGUCUUAUUCUUCUUAGAGCUGCAGUAGUCAUGAUAGUAGACCUAGCUAGUAGCAGACGAUUUAUGUUUAUAUUAUGACCUGCUAAAAUGAUGUAUUUUGGAAAAAUGAAUUAUCCAGGGAUUUAAUAUAUGGUUAAUUGGUAUUUUAUA